GUAUGUGGUGAGAGGAUCAUAAACGUCGACAGAGGCCAGUUUGUGUCUCCAGGAUACCCAUACAAAUACCCACCAAACCUUGACUGCCAGUGGCAAAUUCAGGCAAAUUCAUCUUUGUCUAGCGCAAUAUCUAUUGAAAUUCUGGAAUUUGGAACGCAGAGGUGGUAUGACUUUGUAAAAUUUGAAAGUCGAACUUUUUAUGAAGAUGUUCCUGGUCCGUUAUUACUGGACGGCGCAACGAAGGUUCGGGGCAUAAUUUUCAACUCAUCUGAGGUGAAUGUGUCAAUGAGAUCUGACUCAAUUGUCGAAUCUAUCGGGUUUCGAUUCUCGCUUCAAAGCUGGGCUGUUGGAGUUAGUCAAUUGUCAUGUGAGGUAUUUGACGGAGGGUUGUUUGACUGCGAAGACGGGUCUUGUGUGACUCCAUACGCUAGAUGCAACGGGUUCAAGGAUUGCCUCAGCGGAAAAGACGAACACGAUUGUGAAAACGUAUUUUGUCCGUCUGUGUGCAGAUGUACGUAUUCGAGAAGUCAGUGUUUUCAGGGCUGGAAUCUUCAAACCAUUCGUAGUUUCAACAGGACAAUCCUU